GCCUCCGUGGCUCAUUGGUCAUGAGCUAAGCAAACUAAGGUACCUACCUACCUAAGGUACCUAUGGAAGGCCUGGGGGGCGUCGCUGGUUCGAAUCCAGCCCGAGGCA
rnacentral:tRNA from 1 species